GACGAACGCUGGCGGCGUGCUUAACACAUGCAAGUCGAACGGUGAAGGGACUGGUUUUGCUGGUCCUGGAUGAGUGGCGAACGGGUGAGUAACACGUGAGUAACCUGCCCCCUUCUUCUGGAUAACCGCAUGAAAGUGUGGCUAAUACGGGAUAUUCUGGGUCUGUCGCAUGGUGGGCCUGGGAAAGAUUGCGCCUUUUUUGGUGUUUUUGGUGGGGGAUGGGCUCGCGGCCUAUCAGCUUGUUGGUGGGGUGAUGGCCUACCAAGGCGGUGACGGGUAGCCGGCCUGAGAGGGUGGACGGUCACACUGGGACUGAGACACGGCCCAGACUCCUACGGGAGGCAGCAGUGGGGAAUAUUGCACAAUGGGCGCAAGCCUGAUGCAGCGACGCCGCGUGAGGGAUGGAGGCCUUCGGGGUGUGAACCUCUUUCGCCAGUGAAGCAGGCCUGCCUCUUUUUGUGGGUGGGUUGACGGUAGCUGGAUAAGAAGCGCCGGCUAACUACGUG
rnacentral:rRNA from 1 species